CAAAAGUAAAGAGAUAGUACCCGAGGAUCAAGAAUCGGAGUACUCGAAAUUCGAUUCCCAUUACAGUGAGUAACCUUAUCAUCAUCUUGAUUAUCUGAAGUGAAUUUUAAUUUGUUUUUGUGAUUUUAUGGAAAAUGAGUUUCAAUGGUAAAUCUUUAUGUUUUAUAAGCAAAAUGUGAUUAAAUGAAAUGAUUUUAUAAAAUUGUCUUCAUCAUCACCAGCUCAUGCGCACUCCCUACUCGCACAUGGCUGGGUCAUCAUCUGGUUAUGCGCACUCCCUACUCGCACAUAAUCGGGUCAUCCUCGGCUUAUGCACACUCCCUACUCGCACAUAGCCGAGUCAAUAUAAUUACAAAACAUUAUACUCAAGCAUAUAUGUAUAUCAACAUAAUGCAGCCAUAUACAAAUCCAUAAUAAUCACAUUUCAUAACAUAAACCUUUUCUCAAAAGCUUGUUCCCAAGGCAUUCAUUUUCAUGAAAAGUUGUAUAAAAUCAUUCAAACACUUUGUCAAAUCCAUCAUAUUCCCAAAAUCAGUUUUAAAGGUAGUCCACUCACUAAUUGAUUGUAGAACCUUUAGUUGACUCAAAUUCCCCUAAUGAUCCAAUUGGAAUGAUGGUGCUUCCUUAAAAACCUAGGAUCACAUUAACAUGAACAAUAAAUUAAUUUACACAUUAUGAACUCUAAAAGCUAUCUCUUAGCUAGUUUUCAAUUGCCACUUUAAAUGGCUAUCUAUGUUCACUAUCUUAAUCAUUAAAAAGUAAUGAACGUACUAAACAAUAAAACAGCUCAUAAAUCCUAAUUACUAACCAUUUUCUGCAGCUAAAAAUUGAGCUUAGUUAACCACUUACCCUAGGGCUCAUUUGUAGUCCAAUUCCCUUCCAAUUGCUUCCAAAUAAAUGGUGUAAUUCUCUUUUUCUCUCUCUAAAAAAUGUAACUAGUGAGAGAAAGUGUGAAAACUAGAUUUUUGAAGGAUUUUAAAGUGAGAGGAUGAAAAAAUUCAAAGGUUCUAGUCAAAAAGGUUUAAAGGUGUGAAAACUAAAGCUAGAGAGAGAAAAUUACUCAAGCUUCAAAUCAAGCUUCCAUGGAGUUUUGAAGAAACGUGAGAGAGGAGAAGGGAAGAAGAAGACCAGCUGCUGGAAAUUCAAGAAGGUGCUGGAAAUUUCAAGAUAUUUAUAGGCCAUCUUAUCCUUUCCUUUGAAAUUAUGAAAAUGCCCCUCCACCAAUUAACUUACUCUCCUCCAAUCUUUUAUGCAAUCUUUUUACUUUUUUAACACAGGGACAAUAUCCAUAAUGGUCUAAACAUGCUCGGGUUCAUAAAAACAUAAAAUUUUAACCCGAGGUGAAAAAUGACCAUUUUGCCCUUGUUAUGAAAAUUGUUGAAACUUCUAGUUUUUUUCGUGUUUUCAUCAGCACACAUCAUUUAUACUGUCUUAUGCCUAUUUAGACCUUAAAAUAUCAUAAAACUUUCUUCUGGAAGCUUAUUAGAGAAAAUGAUGAAACUACCUCUGGCCCAUAUUAUUACAUCUAUACUUAGUUACAAGCCUAUAGAAGUUGGGGUAUCACAACACGGAAUCCUGUUAUAUUCUUACCUCGAUUGGAGAGGCGCGUAGGGUAACUCCUGAGGUACAACUUUAGAGUUCACUUCACGCCAAACCACCGCGUGAGUGUGAACUCAGCCAACGCCAAGGAACGACUAUGUUUUCAAAAUAAAAACAUGAUUUAUGCGUACAUGACUUUUUAACAGCCUUGGCGGACUCGGUUGGGAUAACCCCAGGCCAAGGCAUCCCUGAUAAUUGAGUAUGAGAAUGAUUUUGGUACGAGCCAAGCUUUUCAGGAAAUCAUAAGCCUCGUUGUGUAUUUGGGUGAAAUGAAUCUAUUUUAUCUUAUUAAAAUGAGUUCGAAAUGCUGUGAAUCAUUUUUAUGCUAAUCUAUUUUAUUUGUCUCCAUUUACUCAACUUUAGAUAUUUUAGAUGGUAUUUGUUUACUCACUGGGAUUAUAUAAUCUCACCACCCUCCUUUCCACCCCUUUCAGGCUCAGGAUAGUCUGUAGAUAGCUCAUUUCGUUGAGGGCUACAGUUGGACUUGCAUCCUCAAAAAUUGUAGGUUUACCGCUUUUGAUACUUUUGGUCAUUCGUGGGCCCACGUGUCACUGUAAAUUAAAUCUUAUGCUU
rnacentral:lncRNA from 1 species